AGGAUGAACGCUGGCGGCGUGCCUAAUACAUGCAAGUCGAGCGGUAAGGCCCCUUCGGGGGUACACGAGCGGCGGACGGCUGAGUAACACGUAGGAACGUACCCCAAAGUGAGGGAUAAGCACCAGAAAUGGUGUCUAAUACCGCAUGUGCUCUUCGGAGGAAAGCUUCGGCGCUUUGGGAACGGCCUGCGCAUGAUUAGCUUGUUGGUGAGGUAAUGGCUCACCAAGGCGACGAUCAUUAGCUGGUCUGAGAGGAUGAUCAGCCAGACUGGGACUGAGAACGGCCCAGACUCCUACGGGAGGCAGCAGUAGGGAAUUUUCCACAAUGGGCGAAAGCCUGAUGGAGCAACGCCGCGUGCAGGAUGAAUGCCUUAGGGUUGUAAACUGCUUUUAUAUGUGACGAAUAUGACGGUAGCAUAUGAAUAAGGAUCGGCUAACUCCGCGCCAGCAGCCGCGGU
rnacentral:rRNA from 1 species